AUGGGAUGGAGCUGGAUCAUCCUCGUCCUCCUGUCAGCGACUACAGGUGUCCACUCCCAGGUCCAGCUGCAGCAGUCUGUUACGGGACUGGGGAAACCUGGGGCGUCAGUGAAGCUGUCCUGCAAGGCUUCAGGCUUCACCUUCACUGAAUACUUUAUUACCUGGGUGAAGCAGAAGCCUGGACAGGGCCUGGAGUGGAUUGGAUGGAUUUAUCCUGGAGAUGGUGGGACCUACUACAAUCAGAAGUUCCAGGGCAAAGCCACACUGACUGCAGACACAUACUCCAGCACAGCCUACAUGGAGCUCAGCAGCCUGACAUCUGAGGACUCUGCAGUCUAUUACUGUGCAAGAGACACGGUGUUGUAA